rnacentral:rRNA from 1 species
ACGUAGGUCGCGAGCGUUAUCCGGAUUUACUGGGCGUAAAGCGCUUGUAGGCGGUUCUGUAAGUCGGGCGUGAAAUCUCCGGGCUUAACCCGGAGUGGCCGUUCGAUACUGCAGGGCUUGAGGAUGCUAGAGGGUGGUGGAAUUCCAGGUGUAGUGGUGAAAUGCGUAGAUAUCUGGAGGAACAUCCGUGGCGAAGGCGGCCACCUGGGGCAUUCCUGACGCUGAGAAGCGACAGCUAGGGGAUCAAACGGGAUUAGAAACCCCGGUAGUCCUAGCCGUAAACGAUGGACGCUAGGUGUUGGCAGAUCUAACCCUGUCUGCGCCGAAGCAAACGCGUUAAGCGUCCCGCCUGGGAACUACGGUCGCAAGAUUA